UCCCUGGUGGCUCAGAGGUUAAAGCGUCUGCCUGCAAUGAAGGAGACCUGGGUUCGAUCCCUGGGUCAGGGGU
rnacentral:tRNA from 1 species